CGAACGCUGGCGGCAGGCCUAAUACAUGCAAGUCGAACGGCUCUUCGGAGCAGUGGCGGACGGGUGAGUAACGCGUGGGAAUGUGCUCUUAGGUACGGAACAACAGAGGGAAACUUGUGCUAAUACCGUAUGUGCUCUUCGGGGGAAAGAUUUAUCGCCUUUGGAGCAGCCCGCGUUGGAUGAGGUAGUUGGUGAGGUAAAGGCUAACCAAGCCGACGAUCCAUAGCUGGUCUGAGAGGAUGACCAGCCACACUGGGACUGAGACACGGCCCAGACUCCUACGGGAGGCAGCAGUAGGGAAUCUUGCGCAAUGGGCGAAAGCCUGACGCAGCCAUGCCGCGUGUAUGAUGAAGGUCUUAGGAUUGUAGAAUACUUUCACCGGGGAAGAUAAUGACGGUACCCGGAGAAGAAGCCCCGGCUAACUUCGUGCCAGCAGCCGCCGUAACAC
rnacentral:rRNA from 1 species